rnacentral:rRNA from 1 species
GAUGAACGCUGGCGGCGUGCCUAAUACAUGCAAGUCGAGCGAACGGACGAGAAGCUUGCUUCUCUGAUGUUAGCGGCGGACGGGUGAGUAACACGUGGAUAACCUACCUAUAAGACUGGGAUAACUUCGGGAAACCGGAGCUAAUACCGGAUAAUCUUUUGAACCGCAUGGUUCAAAAGUGAAAGACGGCCUUGCUGUCACUUAUAGAUGGAUCCGCGCUGCAUUAGCUAGUUGUUAAGGUAACGGCUUACCAAGGCAACGAUGCAUAGCCGACGUGAGAGGGUGAUCGGCCACACGGGAGGUGAGACACGGUCCAGACUCCUGCGGGAGGCAGCAGUAGGGAAUCUUCCGCAAUAGGCGAAAGCCUGACAGAGCAACGCCGCGUGAGUGAUGAAAGUCUUCGGAUCGUAAAACUCUGUUAUUAGGGAAGAACAUAUGUGUAAGUAACUGUGCACAUCUUGACGGUACCUAAUCAGAAAGCCACGGCUAACUACGUG